UGUCACAAUGCAGCAGCCCAGAUGAGUCUACCCUUGUGUUGCCAGUUGGUCUUCUUCCACUGCUGUAGCCACCCCCACAGGGCAUUAGCCACCAUCCAGGAGUCAGUGUAGAGAUGGACCACUGGCCA